rnacentral:rRNA from 1 species
UACGGGGGGUGCGAGCGUUGUCCGGAAUCACUGGGCGUAAAGAGCUCGUAGGUGGUUUGUCGCGUUGUUCGUGAAAACUCACAGCUCAACUGUGGGCGUGCGGGCGAUACGGGCAGACUAGAGUACUGCAGGGGAGACUGGAAUUCCUGGUGUAGCGGUGAAAUGCGCAGAUAUCAGGAGGAACACCGGUGGCGAAGGCGGGUCUCUGGGCCGUAACUGACGCUGAGGAGCGAAAGCGUGGGGAGCGAACAGG